GGAUGCUGGAGGAAAGAAGGAUGCCUGCAUCCUAGAUUGUUAGACAUCCAUUUGAUCCCCAAGUUUCUCUCAGGGUGCGCCCAUGAAAACUGGUGCUCCUCUGAAGUGGGUUUUCCUGUUAGUGGAGGAGGCAGCUGAUUGGACAAGGCGAGGACCCUGUUAGCCACUUUAGACAGUCAUGGUUGGUUCUGAAGAGAUGA